AUUAUAGUAUGUGUAGUGAAAUGGUGGGAUUUUAUUUUUAUUUUUUAUUUUUUAUUUUUUAGAGACAGCGUCUCAUUCUGUCACCCAGGGUGGAAUGCAGUGGUGCACUGAGAGCUCCGUGCUUGAAGAGCCUUGAAUUCUUGGGCUCUAGCAAUCCUCUCGCCUCAGCCUCCUGAGUAGCUAGGACUGCAGGCACAGGCCACCAUUCCCAGCUAAUUUAAAAAAUUAUUUUUUUUGUAGACACAGGGAUCUCUCUAUGUUGCUUAGGCUGGUCUCAAGUCCUUGGCUCAAAGGAUCCUCCCACCUCAGCCUCCCAAAGUAUUGGGAUUACCUGGCCAAUAUGGAAUUUUAGAACUGGCAGGAACAUCAGAGAUAAUCCAAUGUGAGCUCUUAAUGAUACAGAUUAAUGAAGUAUCAAAAGAUGAGAGGUAUCUAAAAUUCACAUAACUUGUUAGUAACAGAACGAGUAUUAGAACCAGCUGUCUAACUCUUAGUCCAGUGGUGUCCUGUAUCAUACGGUUUCUUAGAAAAUAGAUGUUUGCAGGCCAGGUGCGGUGGCUCAUGCUUGUAAUCUCAGCACUUUGGGAGGCCAAGGUGGGUGGGUCACUUGAGGUCAGGAGUUCGAGACCAGCCUGACCAACAUGGUGAAACUCCAUCUCUACUAAAAAUACUAAAAAUUAGCCAGGCGUGGUGGCGGGCACCUGUAAUCCCAGCUACUCAGGAGGCUGAGGCAGGAGAAUUGCUUGAACCCGGGAGGCGGAGGUUGCAGUGAGCCAAGAUCUCGCCAUUGGACUCCAGCCUGAGCAACAAGAGCGAGACUCCAUCUCAAGAAAAUAGAUGUUUCCACAAAUGUAAAGUCUAUAUGUAUUUGUAUUUCAACAGAUAAUUUAAAGAAAAUUAAAAUGGAUGAGGGCUGUUCCAAAGAAAAUAUUAGUAAUCUAAAGUGUAUGCUGAAUUUUUUUUUUUUUUUUUUUUUUUUUUUUUUUUUUUUUUUUUUUUUGAGACGGGAGUCUCGCUCUGUCACCCAGGCUGGAAUGCAGUGGUGCAAUCUCGGCUCACUGCAAGCUGCGCCUCCAGGUUCACACCAUUCUCCCGCCUCAGCCUCCCGAGUAGCUGGGACUACAGGCGCCUACCACCCACCCCCGGCCAAUCUUUUGUAUUUUUAGUAGGGACGGGGUUUCACCAUGUUCGCCAGGAUGGUCUUGAUCUCCUGACCUCGUGAUCUGCCCGCCUCGGCCUCCCAAAGUGCUGGGAUUACAGGCGUGAGCCACUGCGCCUGGCCUGAAUUUGUUAUUUACUAUAGUCCUACACAAGAAUUAAGAUGGUAUAUAUACAGUUUAAAAUGGGACUUUUUUACUCUUCUGACUUUUUGUUUUAAAUAUAUAGUGAAAACUGUUAAAAGUUUCUCUUCAGAUAUGUGGUAGGUAUUUGAGAGGCCUUAUUAUUGGCUUUGGUUGACAUGCUGGUUUUGGAAUCUUACCUCCUAGCCUCCAAAUGUCCACAGAAUCUGACAAUUCAGAAAAGCUUUUAUACUGAGAAACUAUACAUAGGCAACAGGCAUAUGCCAGGCCAGUUCAUGCUUCUGAGUUAGACACUAUGGUAGGGGAGGUUGGCAAUCCAUUUUUGUUUUUU
rnacentral:sRNA from 1 species